rnacentral:rRNA from 1 species
CGACAGCAAUAUGAAGGUCAGGCUGAAGACCUUACCCGAUUAGCUGAGAGGUGGUGCAUGGCCGUCGUCAGUUCGUACUGUGAAGCAUCCUGUUAAGUCAGGCAACGAGCGAGACCCACGUCCACAGUUGCCAGCAUACCCUCCGGGGUGAUGGGUACACUGUGGAGACCGCCGCUGCUAAAGCGGAGGAAGGAGUGGGCAACGGUAGGUCAGUAUGCCCCGAAUCUCCCGGGCUACACGCGGGCUACAAUGGUUGGUACAAUGGGCAUCUACCCCGAAAGGGGAAGGAAAUCUCUUAAAGCCAAUCGUAGUUCGGAUUGAGGGCUGCAACUCGCCCUCAUGAAGCUGGAAUCCGUAGUAAUCGCGUUUCAACAGAACGCGGCGAAUACGUCCCUGCUCCUU